GAUGUCCGCGAGCUUCUAAUGAUCGCUCGGCGAUAAAGUUCGGCAGUUAGGCAUUCCGCGCGAAGAAUUCCGUGUGACUCGGCGCUAAUCAGUGGGACAUCGGCCUGCCUUCCGUCCGAAUUCCUGGCAAGGUAACAACCGACUUCACUAAUAUAACAUCGUAUACACGAACGGAACACGUGCAUCGUAUACAUAUGCAUGCGCGGGCAUUCACAGAAGCUAGACAGGGUAGUAGCUUCCGUCGCCCGAGGGCCAGAAACAAGAGGAAUUCGAUUGCGGCGGCACAAAAACCGUUCGAGAAAGCUGCGAGUCUCCGACAGAAGGCGAAUUAACAAUACAGAUCUGAAGCAAUAUAAAUCGGUAGACAGAAGGUAUCUAAUUACGCGGCCGGCUAAUUAGAUGAACCAGGAUAUCAGUCUCGCAUCUUUUCCGCGAAGAAAUCGUCUUUCCGCCACCGUCAGGGGUCGAGGAACAAUCUCUGUAUGUACUUCGUUGUACCAUUGUGAACAGGUACCCACAGGUGGACUGUAAUUUACAUGCGACACUUGGGCGAUUCAAUCUCGGCGGCUGGUAAUCGAGCAUUGAUCUUCCGAUGCUCUGAUUCUCGAGAUACGCUUCCAAUUGUUUGUUGCAUAUUCAGUUGAACAAUCCCCGUUUAACCUCUCGACGUGUGACCUCUUUCCUGGCUACGUUGAUUGGAACUUCUUUAAUUAAUGUUCACUUUAUGUCAACCACAAGGUUGAAUUCAUAUUUGCAAUUGUUUCUCGUACAGUUCAUUAAGAAAUCCUUGUUGAACCAUUUGUCCUAGGAUUUCUUUCAUAAUCGCGUUCAUGAAAGCUUCUUUAAACUUACAUUUAUUGUAUGACAAUUUAAACCACGUAAGAUCUUUAUUAUUGUUGAACAAUCGUUCUUGCGAAAAACACAAAUUGUCUGCCUCGAUUGCGGUAAACAGAAGCCGUAUAAAAAUGUAUUUAUUGAUAAACUUUGUAAGCUGAAAAUAAUAUAAUCGCGCUCUUAUAUUUUUCAGCUGUUUUCAUUGUUCUCUAUUUUAUCAGCUCAUUCUUGUGUAAAUGCAUACGCUGUCUAAUUAUAGUAUAUUGUAUACAGCAA